CCCAUAUCUUCUUCACGGCAUCCGUACGAGAGGAUUCAGGAACCCCCAGAAAGUCGCUAAGAGCAGGGGAGAUUGGGGUGGCCUUAAGUAUCCCAGUACGCUUAAGAGGAUCUACCGGUUUUGACUUCCGUUUUUCUGCUGUCUUGGUGGCUCUUGGUUUCGACGCAGCAGUUGUUGUUGUGGAGGCAGCGGACUUCGUUGGGGCUAACAGGGCUCUGCAACCCUUGAAAACCCUAGAUGCUGCUAACGACAUUGUGGGUUUUGCUUUGCUUUGCUUUCCUUUGAGAAAUGAAUGAGUU
rnacentral:misc_RNA from 1 species